UCCAACCUCAUUUCUUUUCGAGUUUCACAGCCUUUUACCAAUGUUUGGGUGCGGCAAAGCUCCCUAAGGGCCCAUUGGGGCUCUUAGACAAUACCAGUCACCAAAACUAAUUAACUUUCAACCAGUGCAAGUGUGGAAUUACCAGCCUUGUGCAUCAAAGUUCAGUGGGUACUCAAGGUACCCAAAGCAAUGCUUACACUAAGGGGGUAUAACUUAAAUUCUAGGAGUAGUGAGAUUGUGAUAGAGUAUUAAAGAGAUUGAGUUCAAAAACAGUUGAAAGAGGGUCCAUAGAGAACCAGUUUUGAGAGAAAAGCAAUGGAAGGGGAGGUAGAGUUUCUUUAAAACCAAUUGAGUUUCAAAAUGGUUAAAGGGGAUUCACACGAAAAUAGUUUUGAGAGAAAAGCAACAAAGAUACAAUAUCAGACAAGCACAAGCAGGGGCAGAGGACAUGGGGGACAAGUAAUUCACAAGUGUGAACACAGUUACAUAAACACAAACAUCAAAGAGAAGCACUUCUGAACUUAAACAAUCAAGUAGGUUUCAAACAAAGGGGUCAGGGUCUUAACAACAUUAGAUUGAUCGAUA
rnacentral:lncRNA from 1 species